GGGCCCGUAGCUCAUCUGGUAGAGCGCUGCAUUCGCAUUGCAGAGGUGGUCGGUUCGAGCCCGAUCGGGUCCACCA
rnacentral:tRNA from 1 species